UUAGGCCACAAAUAGGGAAUCAAAGUUUUAUGUGCAAGUAUACAGGGGGAAAAAAUUCCCUAAGCACCACUUUGCCAGGAAAGUAGAAAUUCAUAUGAAAGCUUUCUGCCAUUGUGCAGGUUCAAGUUUGUUAAAACCAUGGCCCCAGGGGUAGGAAUGGGCCACAAUACGGGAUCAAAGUAUAUAGAGAAAAUCAUUAAAAAAUCUUCUUCUCAAGAACCACUGCACUAUGAAUAUUGGCAUUUAUAUGAAAGGUUUCUGACAUAGUGCAGAUUCAAGUCUGUAAAAAUAAUGUUCCCCGGGGUAAGUUUGGGCCACAAUAGGAUCAAAGUAUGGAGGGAAAAUCUUCAAAAAUGGGACAAGAUGACUCAGGUGAGCGAUGUGGCCCAUGGGCCUCUUGUUAAAUAUGUGAUAUUUGAUUGUUUUUUCAUGUAACUUAUUAGUACAUGUACCAAUAAAUAGUACCAUUCCCAAUGCACUAAAAUGUUGAUUUUUCCUAAUUUUGACACUAAAAAUCCCAAUUCAGUUCCCCUGACUUAAGGUAGCUCUUUACACUAAAGCUUAUACUAUUUAUUACACUACUCACGAGAUGGCAAUUUAAAUGUUUUGUAAAUUUAUUUGUAUCAAUCGAUUCGUUUGUCUAUUACCAUAGCUCGGUGGUUAAAGCAUUGGUCUGGUGAACCGCAGAUCUCGAGUUCAAAUCUGCCAGAGUCUUUUGUUCAUAUGUGUUGAAAUCAUGUUUUUGAAAAUCAUGUUUUUAUCCAAAUUUGCUUAUUAUCUGCUGUUUUGGCAUAUAUAUUUAUUAUACAUCAUCAAAUCUUUUGUGAUUAAAUCAAUUCAUACUGAUUUGAGAAACUAUUUCAAGGUGUAGUGAGCCACCUUAAUAUUAUUCUUAUAGGAUGAAAUGUACAAAUUCACUUGUUGUUUUUUUUGUUUUUUUUUUUUUUUUUGUUUUUUGUUUUUUUUUUUUGUUUUUUGCUUUCUUUUGAUUUGUACAGAUCAGUCUUAAUAUUGCAAGGCAUGUUGUAGUCAGCCUAUUAUCUGACAUUGACAACUUAAAAAUGUGAGAACUAAAGAUAAUACUGUUUAAUGAUUUGAAACAAUGUAAACUUUGUAAUGGAGAACCACUGGAAGCUAAUACUUAGUAUAAAGAUGAGCUUAGGGUGUGUUAUAACCUUGUUCAAGGUCAUUCCGGCAAGUUCAAGUUCAGUAGCAGAAAAGUAUUAACACAAUUAUUUUUUGAUCAAUAACUUUAGAUUGAGAAUCAUUGGAAGCUCAUACAUGGUUUUAAGAUUUUUUAUGACCUAAGGGUGUAUCAUGACCUUGGCCCAGGAUCAUAAGAACAAGUUUAAGGUCACUGGCAGAAAAUUUCAAAAUUCAUGAUAGGUCUAUAAUAUUCUAAUAGAAAAUGAUUGGGUGUUCAUAUUUCUCUCAAAGAUUAGUUUUGACCAGGGGACAUACAUGUAUGACUGGGACUUCGAUUGAGCUAUAUGAGUUUCAUAGCAUUGUGUUUUGUCUUUCAGGUAGUUCAUGUAGAUUCUGACAAGGCCAUAGAGAAGGAACUGGAGAAAGGUAAGCACUUGCUUAAUAGUUUAAAUGCAAAUUGAUUUUAAUUGGGAAUUGUUAAAUUAUUUUCUUCUCAGUGUGGCCUUUUAGAGGUAUUAUACUCAUAUUAGAUUGAUAGAAAUACCCAAUAUACACUUUAGUAUUUACCUUUUUUGUGGUCUACCUUAUGCCCAUUUAUUGGCAGUCUCCUUAAUGACUGUAUCAAAGUACUGAUUGCUAUAGGAGAUAAAGAGCAGACAUAUUAUCCCUGAACAUUAUAAUACUUUAAAAUAUUUAUAGUUUUAACUAUGGCCUUCUAUGAAAUGCCAAAUCAUUGCAGUAACCUCAUUAUCUGUCUGUUCUUUCACUCAUUUGUAAGUCUGUCUGUCUGUCUGCAAAAAGAAGAAUUAUGUGAUGUCAUAACCCAUAUAGGUCAUAGGAAGAAGUUGAGGUUAUAUCACUUUGUCUGAUAAUUGACCAUCAAACCUUUAGAUACGAUGUUAUAAUAGUUUGCUUGCUUUGCAACUCGUUCAUAUCUUAUACAAAUGAUGCUGACCUAAGUAGAAGGAAGUCUCCCACGAAUGUUUUAGUUUUAUCGCAUUGUCAUUGGGACAUAUUCAUCUCCAAUUAACCCAGUUACUUAUUCAUCUCCAAUGAUAUUAAUGUAACAGGAAGGGAGAAAAUGCAACGAACCAGACCGGGAUUUGAACCCGGGCCCCCUGAAUCUCUAGUCAGGUGCUCUACCAACUAAGCUAUCUAGCCACUGGCGAUCGAACCUGGCUGACCGCUACAAUAAUAUACAUAUAAUAAAUUCAUGAAUACAUGGUUUUAGUUUUCCAUUUUAUGCCAUCAACAUUUUUUUUUUUGCAGAUGCUACCAGACUGGGUGGUAUAACUGAUUGCAUUUCCAGCUUGACUAAUGAUUCUGUUUUUUCUGAGAUUGUAGACACCAAGGAGAUGCUGCAAAUUAAGACAGAUCCAGUUUUGAAAAAGAAAAAUUGAAAUGGUCUAAAGAAGACACUGCAUUUUUGACCAAUUAAUUUAAAAAAUAUGUCCAGACUAAAUGUGCUGCCAGGCAAUUACAAAAUAAAGGAUACCUUCUAAGCAAGAAAGAAAUAAGAGAUUUUAUGGAAGCCCAUAUUCUGACAUCCAUAUGCCAUCUUUCGAUGAACGAACAGUAUCUCAAAAUACGAACAAAGUUAUUCAAUGAAAGGAAAACAAUUUGAACAAAUGACAAUGAAAAGUUGAAACAAAUGGAAGUAGAAGAAGAUUGUCACUCACUUAAAAUUCUUAGUUCAUCAUACAUUCCUUCAUGUAUAUACAUGAAAAUAUUGUGUAUCAAGUCUUAGCUCACUGUGAUUUAUUGCUAAUGCUAAAUUAAUGAAUCAUAUAACAGAGAUUAUAUAAAUUUAGUAGACAAUGAGAA